rnacentral:rRNA from 1 species
GUGCCAGCCGCCGCGGUAAUACGUAGGGUGCGAGCGUUAAUCGGAAUUACUGGGCGUAAAGCGUGCGCAGGCGGUUCGUCAAGUCUGAUGUGAAAGCCCCGGGCUCAACCUGGGAAUGGCAUGGGAAACUGACGGGCUGGAGUAUGGCAGAGGGGGGUGGAAUUCCGCGUGUAGCAGUGAAAUGCGUAGAGAUGCGGAGGAACACCGAUGGCGAAGGCAGCCCCCUGGGCCAAUACUGACGCUCAGGCACGAAAGCGUGGGGAGCGAACAGGAUUAGAUACCCUCGUAGUCC